UACGUAGGUGGCAAGCGUUGUCCGGAUUUACUGGGCGUAAAGAGCGCGCAGGCGGCUAAGUCAGUCGAAUGUGAAAGCCCCCGGCUUAACUGGGGAGGGUCAUUCGAUACUGCUCGGCUCGAAGACAGGAGAGGGAAGUGGAAUUCCCGGUGUAGUGGUGAAAUGCGCAGAUAUCGGGAGGAACACCGGUGGCGAAGGCGGUUCUCUGGGCCUUACCUGACGCUGAGGAACGAAAGCUAGGGGGAGCAAACAGG
rnacentral:rRNA from 1 species